rnacentral:sRNA from 1 species
UAGUAGCCGAAUUUCUGGUGAAAACGGGGGAACCAUAAGAAGUGAUGAAAAGUGGAGUGUACACGAUAAAUGGCACUUUCAUCAGGGGUGAAUUUCGUUCUGGGAACGAAUAGGGCAGCCUGCAUAGUCCGAAUCCGUCAGCUAACCUCGUAGGCUAA